AACGAACGCUGGCGGCAUGCCUAACACAUGCAAGUCGAACGAGACCUUCGGGUCUAGUGGCGCACGGGUGCGUAACGCGUGGGAACCUGCCCUUAGGUUCGGAAUAACUCCCCGAAAGGGGUGCUAAUACCGGAUAAUGUCUUCGGUCCAAAGAUUUAUCGCCUUUGGAUGGGCCCGCGUUGGAUUAGCUAGUUGGUAGGGUAAAAGCCUACCAAGGCGACGAUCCAUAGCUGGUCUGAGAGGAUGAUCAGCCACACUGGGACUGAGACACGGCCCAGACUCCUACGGGAGGCAGCAGUGGGGAAUAGUGGACAAUGGGCGAAAGCCUGAACGAGCAAUGACGCGUGAGUGAUGAAGGCCUUAGGGUUGUAAAGCUCUUUUAACCGGGAUGAUAAUGACAGUACCGGGAGAAUAAGCUCCGGCUAACUCCGUG
rnacentral:rRNA from 1 species